AUCUUUAGGCGCGUCCAUUGUGGUGAUGAUCGUGUUCUCUUUAUUCUGCCAAGCAGCAUGUGGACUAACAUUUGGGGUGGUGCCUUUUGUCUCACGAAGGUAAGAUUUCUCCCAUAUGUGUUAACACCGAUAUUAUCUGCAGCUCAAGAAAACAACAGAAGUUUUUGGUUAGGAUUUCAGAGUUUUCUGAUUGCAAUUAGAGUUAACUAAAUAAGAGCAAAAAGUUUUUUCUCGGCCAAGCUUAGAAUUGAUUCAGUAUAAAUUUCACGAAAGUUUUUUGACAGAUGCUCAUCUUGUAUAUUCCUUCGGUAUGGAACUAGACAGGAGAGUAAACUUUGGUUGAGAUAUCUAACAAUACCAUUAUGCUUAAUGAAAUUCCAUCACAACUAGCAACAUCCUUGGAUCUGCUUGUAGAAUUUAAUGACACUAAAGGCAUAUUUUUUCUAAGAAUUCUUUUCCUGACUCCAUUCAUAUUUCUUAUUUUCAGGUCAUUGGGGCUGAUAUCUGGUAUGACUGGAGGUGGUGGAAACGUGGGUGCGGUUCUAACUCAACUAAUUUUCUUCAGAGGAUCCAAAUACUCAAAAGACAGAGGGAUAAUGCUCAUGGGUGUCAUGAUUAUAUGCUGCACUCUUCCAAUUUGUCUUAUAUACUUCCCACAAUGGGGUGGAAUUUUUUGUGGUCCAUCAUCUACAAAGAUCGCUACAGAGGAAGACUACUACUUGUCCGAAUGGACUUCAGAGGAGAAGGAGAAAGGCCUGCAUCUAUCAAGCUUAAAGUUUGCAGAUAACAGCAGACGUGAAAGAGGUAGAAAAGAAGAUUCUGAAACCAGGCCAGUAGAUGAAAGCCCAUCAACACAAGUCUAGAUCAUGCCUCAUAGCCAUACUUCUCUAGUGUCUGCUAGCAUCCCAACAGGCGAGCAAGUAAUGUGCAUUAUAUCUAUAAUGCUCAAGUUUAUGGCUGCUAGCUCUCAGAGCAUUACAAAAUUUAUACAUUGGACAUGUAGACCUCAUAGUCUGGAUGAAAAUGUUGUUUAAUUUCCACAGUAAAGUCAUCAGAAGCAACUCUAUGGAAAACGUUAAUUUAUUUUACUUUACAAAGCCUUAACUAAUCAAUAAAAUGUGAACAAAUACAUGGUCAUUAUCUCAGAACCAUAGAACAGAAAAUUUUAAUUUGGUAAUUUGAAGAAAACAAUGAAGGCAACAAUUGUAUUCGGUAGAAGAUUAAGAUAUCCUACUAGUAUAUUUGGUUCCACAGGUCUCCUAAAUCAUUCAUAUGUCAUCUCAUCAAACAUCAUUCCCAUGAAAAAAAAAAAAAAAACUCCUCACCAAGGAAGAAAUUCUGAGAGAAACUGAAUCUUAUUAAGAAGAAUAGAAAAAAGGAAAGGACCUUUUUCAGUGAAAUUCUAGAUUAUUUGGUCCGGAUCUCUUAUUUCAAACAGCAAUAAACAAAUAACUAUCUAAAACAGCAAGCAAGACAAAAUGCAGCUUUCACAGCCGAUCUACAUAAACGAUGUGGCUGUUGAGCUGUGAGAUAGCAGUUGAAGAUUGUAUUCUGUUACAGUUGGUUAUAACCAACGGGAAUCUUGUAUAGAUAAUACCCAGCUAAGCUCAUGUAUAAAUAGCAACGAUUACAAGCAAAUAACGUCAUGAAUUAGAAAUCAUUCACUUACCCAUUGUUUCUCUUCUCUGUUCCUCUCUUCAUUAUUCUUCUCUGCAAAUCUUCUUAUUACUUCAACCAUAUUCUCUGUCUCUUCACAACAUAUGGUAUCAGAGCCAUAUCACUAAAAUCAAAUAAAGAACAUCAAGAAACUGAGUUUUCUUGAAAAAGAAAAGCAAAGCAGAAAAGAUCAAUCAAUGACAACAGAAUCAAACAAUUUUGUGCAGGCAGCAAUACCAAGAUUUGAUGGUCAUUAUGACCAUUGGUCUAUGCUUAUGGAGAACUUUCUUAAGUCCAAAGAAUACUGGAGUCUAAUAGAAAAAGGGAUUGGUGCAGCAAGAGGAGAAGGAGCACAAUCAGCAGCACAACAGAAAGUAAUUGAAGAAGAAAAAUUGAAGGAUUUAAAGGUCAAGAACUACCUAUUUCAAGCCAUUGACAGAACCAUCAUUGAAACUAUACUCAAUAAGGAGACUUCAAAGGCCAUUUGGGAUUCCAUGAAACUGAAAUAUCAAGGAUCCACCAAAGUGAGACGUGCCCCAGUUACAAGCACUUAGAAGAGAAUUUGAAGUUCUUGGCAUGAAAGAAGGGGAAAAAGUUGAUGAGUACUUUACAAGAACAUUAACUAUUGCAAACAAAAUGCAAGUGCAUGGAGAAAGUAUGAAGCAGAAUGUAAUUGUUGAGAAAAUUUUAAGGUCAAUGACCUCAAAAUUCAAUUAUGUUGUCUGUUCUAUUGAAGAAUCUAAUGAUUCUUCAACCAUGUCAAUAGAUGAACUUCAAAGCAGUCUCCUAGUUCAUGAACAGAGGAUGCAAGGUCAGAAAGAAGAAGAGCAGGCUUUAAACAUUACUAAUUCAGAGAAAAUGGGAGGAAGAAUUGAAUACAGAACUGAAGGGAAGGAAAGAUUUCGUGGUGGUAUCAGGGGAAGGGGUCGAGGAAGGGGAAGACAGCCCUACAACAAAGCCUUGAUCCAGUGCUACAACUGCCAAAAACUAGGACAUUUUCAAUACGAAUGUCCUGUUAGAAACAGAAAUGACAGGAAUGCAUAUUUUGCAGAAGUAGAUGAGGAAGAAGAGAUGUUAUUAAUGGCCUACAAAGAUGAAGGGGAUCAUGAAGAUAUACAGCAAAAAGAAGAAGUUGUAUGGAUUCUUGACUCAGGUUGCAGCAAUCACAUGUGCAGCAACAAGGAAUGGUUUUUUGAAUUUGAUGACAAGUUUAGAAGAACUGUAAAGCUUGGAGACAAUUCAAAAAUGAUGGCUAUGGGAAAGGGACAUAUCAAGCUAAACAUCAAAGGAAUUACACAGGUAUUCACAGAGGUAUAUUUCAUACCUGAAUUGAAGAACAACCUCCUGAGCAUAGGCCAGCUGCAAGAAAAACAGUUAGCAAUUCUUAUCAAAGAUGACAAAUGUAGGGUUUAUCACCCUAAGAAAGGUUUGAUUAUGCAAUCUCAAAUGUCAUCUAACAGAAUAUUUCCCAUACUUGCUACUGUGAUAACUCCAAUGGCUAGUUGUCUACAAGCAACAUCUGAAGAUGUCACCAAUCUAUGGCACUGUCGAUAUGGGCAUCUAAGCCUCAAGGGGCUGAAAACCUUGGUUUCAAUGGAGAUGGUCAAGGGUUUACCUGCACUGAAUGACUCAUUAAAAGUCUGUCAAGAUUGCAUGAAAGGAAAGCAGCAUAGAGAGACAUUGCCAAAGAAAAGUCUGUGGAGAGCAUCCAAGAAACUACAACUUGUCCAUGCAGAUAUUUGUGGACCCAUUUCACCACAAUCAAACAGUGGGAAAAGGUACAUAAUCACUUUUAUAGAUGAUUAUAGUAGAAAAACUUGGGCAUAUUUUCUAUUACACAAAUCUGAAGCACUGUCUAUAUUCAAGAAAUAUAAAGUGAGUGUGGAAAAAGAAAGUGGUGAAAGAAUCAGUUGUUUAAGAACUGACAGAGGGGGAGAGUUCACCUCAAGUGAAUUUAAUGAUUUUUGCAGCACACAUGGAAUCAAGAGACAACUUACCACAGCAUACACCCCACAGCAGAAUGGGGUUGCAGAGAGAAAGAAUCGCACCAUAAUGAAUAUGGUGCGCAGCAUGUUGUCAGGGAAGGAAUUACCAAAGCAAUUCUGGGCAGAGGCUGUAAAUUGGUCCAUCUAUGUGAUAAAUAGAAGCCCCACCACAGCUGUUCCCAAUACUACUCCUGAAGAAGCUUGGAGUAACAGGAAGCCUAGUGUUGAGUGUUUCCGUGUGUUUGGAUGUGUGGCUUAUGCUCACAUACCUGACAAUCAACGCAAGAAGUUAGAUGACAAAAGUUUCAAAUGUGUGUGGUUAGGAGUAAGUGAAGAGUCUAAAGGGUACAGACUUUAUGACCCUGUGGGAAAGAAAAUCAUCACUAGCAGAGAUGUAGUAUGUGUGGAAAAUGAAAAGUGGGAGUGGGACAGAAGUGCAGAAGAGUUGAAGCAUAAAGAGUUAGAAUGGGCAGACAUUAAUGAGGAAGAAGACAGUGAGAUCAGUGGAGGUUUUGAAGGUGUAAACAGUCAUCCUGAACAUGCUGAUGGUGUGCACAAUGAUAACUCAUCAAGUAGUCUUGUAGAUAGUCUACCUGAUGGAAUAUCACAGAAUGACAAGCAAGAAAGGUGCAGAAGAAAACCAACCUGGUUAACAGAUUAUGUGACUGAUGAAGCACUAUCUGAAGGAGAAGAAGAGGGAGGACAUAAUCUUGCAAUGCUCAUCUCUACAGAGGACCCUGUCACAUUUGAAGAAGCAGUCAAAAGUGAAAAGUGGAGAACAGCAAUGGAUACAGAGAUAAAGGCCAUUGAAAAGAACAAUACAUGGGAAUUAACUGUCCUACCAGCUGAAGCAAAACCUAUAGGAGUGAAGUGGGUAUUCAAGACCAAAUUAAAUGAAGAGGGAAAGGUGGACAAGCACAAGGCAAGGCUUGUGGCAAAGGGGUACUCCCAAAGACAAGGAAUUGACUAUAAUGAAGUAUUCGCACCAGUAGCUAGGUGGGAUACAAUCAGAACUAUCCUAGCAUUGGCAGCUCACAAAGGCUGGUAUGUUUAUCAGCUGGAUGUUAAGAGUGCCUUUUUGCAUGGAGAGCUAGCUGAAGCCAUAUUUGUUGAACAACCACAAGGAUUUGAGAAACAAGGAGAGGAGCAUAAGGUGUACAGACUGAAAAGAGCAUUAUAUGGACUCAAGCAAGCCCCUAGGGCUUGGUACAGCAGAAUUGAGACUUACUUUGUCAAAGAGGGCUUUGAAAAAUGCUUCUGUGAACAUACAUUAUUCACAAAAACCAGUGACAAAGGCAGUAUGCUAAUUGUAAGUCUAUAUGUGGAUGAUCUUAUCUUUACAGGAAAUAGUGAAUGCAUGUUUAAAGGCUUCAAAGACUCAAUGAUGAGAGAGUUUGACAUGUCUGAUCUUGGAAGAAUGAAGUACUUUUUAGGUGUGGAAGUCAUACAAAAUGCAGAACUGAUAUUCAUCUGUCAAAAGAAGUAUGCUAGAGAGGUGUUGGGAAGAUUUGGAAUGGAACAUAGUAAUGCAGUGCAGAAUCCAAUUGUCCCAGGAUGCAAACUUACAAAAAAUGAAGAAAAUGCAAAGGGUGUAAAUACUACAGAAUAUAAGCAAUUAGUUGGCAGUUUGCUAUAUUUGACAGCCACUAGACCCGAUCUUAUGUAUGCAGUUGGGUUAGUCAGUAGAUAUAUGGAAAGACCCACUGAAAUGCACCUUCAAGCUGUCAAAAGGAUACUAAGGUAUCUCAGGGGAACUACAGAAUUUGGGAUUAUAUACAGAAAAGGGGAUGAAGGACAACUAAGAGCAUAUGCAGAUAGUGAUUAUGCUGGGGAUGUUGAUGACAGGAAGAGUACAUCUGGGUUUGUGUUUAUGCUUGGUACAGGAGCUGUUUCUUGGUCCAGUAAGAAACAACCCGUGGUGACAUUAUCUACAACAGAGGCAGAGUUUAUAGCUGCUGCAUCCUGUGCUUGUCAAGGAGUUUGGUUAAGAAGAAUUCUGGGCAAUAUUGGCCUUGAACAAGUGACUAGUACAGUGAUCUAUUGUGAUAAUAAUUCUGCUAUAAAACUUUCAAAAAACCCAGUACUACAUGGUCGAAGCAAACACAUAGAUGUCAGAUUUCACUUCCUAAGGGAUCUUACAAGAGAUGGGGUUGUGGAACUAGUAUACUGCAACACACAAGAGCAAAUUGCAGAUAUCAUGACGAAACCACUAAAGCUAGAGGCUUUCUUAAAGCUAAGGGACAAAUUAGGCAUGGGUAUGAUGCAAAAAUUGAACUAAUCGACAAAUUAGUUCAAGGGAGGAUGUUGAGCUGUGAGAUAGCAGUUGAAGAUUGUAUUCUGUUACAGUUGGUUAUAACCAACGGGAAUCUUGUAUAGAUAAUACCCAGCUAAGCUCAUGUAUAAAUAGCAACGAUUACAAGCAAAUAACGUCAUGAAUUAGAAAUCAUUCACUUACCCAUUGUUUCUCUUCUCUGUUCCUCUCUUCAUUAUUCUUCUCUGCAAAUCUUCUUAUUACUUCAACCAUAUUCUCUGUCUCUUCACAACAGUGGCCAUUUUAAAUUUGCCAGUUCAACAAGCUAAACUGACCUUAAUGCAAUUAAUCUUUGAUGUCGCUGAGAGGAAUUAAGACAAGUUCUAGCUGAGAUGACCUUUCGUCCCUGCAAGACCAUGAUGGAAUUUCUUGUUGGAGGAUCUCUCCGGUAUGUAAGCAAGUAUUUGAAGGUUAGUGUUAGUCUAGAGACCAUACAGGAAGCUCAUUUACACUAUAGUGUUAC
rnacentral:lncRNA from 1 species